CAAACUAAAGAUGGCGACCGGCGCACGGGUGAGUAACACGUAUCCAACCUGCCGAUAACUCGGGGAUAGCCUUUCGAAAGAAAGAUUAAUAUCCGAUAGUAUAUUAAAACCGCAUGGUUUUACUAUUAAAGAAUUUCGGUUAUCGAUGGGGAUGCGUUCCAUUAGUUUGUUGGCGGGGUAACGGCCCACCAAGACUACGAUGGAUAGGGGUUCUGAGAGGAAGGUCCCCCACAUUGGAACUGAGGCACGGUCCAA
rnacentral:rRNA from 1 species